rnacentral:pre_miRNA from 1 species
UCUCAUGGAUGAGGAAAAGAAGUGGUUUCUUAAAAUGGAAUCUACUUUUGGUGAAGAUUCUGUGAA